GACAUCCAAGUUCCCUUUAUUUUUUUUUUCUUUUUCCUUCUUCAAUUUGCAGAGAACUUCUAAGAGAGAGUUUGGAAGAAGAAGAGAAAUUUUACUAGAAUUUUUAGGUUGAAGAAGAGGAGGAGAACUCAAGCAAAGUGUAUCAAUGGUUGAAUUUUAGUUCAUUCUGCACAUCACUGGUUUUUAAUUCGGUUUGAACUCUUCAAAAGGAAUUAAGAGAAAACAGGGCAGUUGGUUUUCACUCGAAAUCAGGAGGUCUCUGGUUUUUCUUGUAUUUCAGAGUGUAUCGGUGGAGUUAGAAUCUCUAUUUGGAACAAGUUAAAGAGGUCGUGUGCGCGCGAUUCUGGAAGUGGUUCUGUUUUGAGGGUUAUAUGUGUUUAUGCACGGGGAAUCAGAUUUAUAUGUCUUCAGGUAAGUUUUAGAGGAUCUCAAAAUGAAGAGUUUGAUAUAAAGAACACUCAUUUUGGUUAAGUAUUGAGAAAGUUAUAGUCCUUUGAAGUUUAUGUUAGAAAUCUGGAAAUUUUAGAGAAUUGUUGAAAUAGGAUUUUAUUUCUUAAGCUUUGUUUUCGUGAGCGUCAUCUUUGGUGCGACAUGUUAUGUAUAUCUUUAGGAAACCAGAAUGUUUAGGGUUUUAAUACUCGGUUGGGUUGUUGGCAGGCCGAGAAGAAUUAAACCGAGCUUAUGGACCAAGGAUCUAGCCCAAGACUGUAGAGAUCGACUUCCCGGUGCCUGAUAGACUGCCUUAGUCUGCGGAAGCUUCAUUAUCGAUUGCCAGUACGUGUUUUGAGUUGGGCAUAAAGUCUGUUGUGUUGUGAUGUAUUCACACCCUUGUAUGUUAUAGAUACUCCACAGUUUGUAUAAGCUUUAGGAGCUGUAGUUGUGUAAAUUUUGUUGGUUAUAUUUUGUUU